GCUUUACUGUAACUUGGAAUUGAGUUUGGGCUCUUCUUGCGCAGUAUAGGUGGGAGGCUAAGAAAAUAUGCUUGCGGGCAUAUUUGAGCCAUCAUUGAGAUACCACUCUGGAAGGGUUGGAACUCUAACUUUGAGCCGUAAGCCGGCCAAAAGACAGUUUCUGGUGGGCAGUUUGACUGGGGCGGUAGCCUCCUAAAAAGUAACGGAGGCGUGCAAAGGUUUCCUCAGGCUGGACGGAAAUCAGCUUAAGAGUGUAAAGGUAGAAGGGAGCUUGACUGCAAGACAAACAAGUCGAGCAGGGGCGAAAGCCGGCCUUAGUGAUCCGACGGUACCGCGUGGAAGGGCCGUCGCUCAACGGAUAAAAGUUA
rnacentral:rRNA from 1 species